rnacentral:rRNA from 1 species
UACAGAGGGUGCGAGCGUUAAUCGGAGUUACUGGGCGUAAAGGGCGCGUAGGCGGUGAGAUGAGUGUGAUGUGAAAGCCCUGGGCUUAACCUAGGAAGUGCAUCGCAAACGAUCUGACUGGAGUAUAAGAGAGGGUGGCGGAAUUUCCGGUGUAGCAGUGAAAUGCGUAGAGAUCGGAAGGAACGUCGAUGGCGAAGGCAGCCACCUGGCUUAAUACUGACGCUGAGGCGCGAAAGCGUGGGGAGCAAACAGG